rnacentral:rRNA from 1 species
GACGAACGCUGGCGGCGUGCUUAACACAUGCAAGUCGAACGAUGAAGCCGGAGCUUGCUCCGGUGGAUUAGUGGCGAACGGGUGAGUAACACGUGAGCAAUCUGCCCUUGACUCUGGGAUAACUGCGGGAAACUGUAGCUAAUACCGGAUACGACACCUUGGGGCAUCCCCGGGUGUGGAAAGAAUUUCGGUCAAGGAUGAGCUCGCGGCCUAUCAGCUAGUUGGUGAGGUAAUGGCUCACCAAGGCGACGACGGGUAGCCGGCCUGGGAGGGGAACCGGCCACACAGGAACUGAGACACGGUCCAGACUCCUACGGGAGGCAGCAGUGGGGAAUAUUGCACAAUGGGCGAAAGCCUGAUGCAGCAACGCCGCGUGAGGGAUGAAGGCCUUCGGGUUAUAAACCUCUUUUAGCAGGGAAGAAGCGAAAGUGACGGUACCUGCAGAAAAAGCACCGGCUAACUACGUGCCAGCAGCCGCGGUAA